rnacentral:lncRNA from 1 species
GCUGGCUGGAAAUCAAUGGGAAAUAUGCAAUGAAAAACCUUACGGGAGGAUCGGACUACCAGGUGAAAUUUGUUGUGAAGCUCUUGAAAAAAUUUAACAUUGACAAACCAGUGACCUUUAGCCUGACUACUCCGCGGGGAUGCAAGCAAGAACAUACUGAGAACAUGAUGGAGAUGCCGAGAAACAAGAUCAUUACCAUCACUGCCGGGGAAUUUGAGGUCCCCUGGAAUACUUAUGGAUGCGGGGAGAUAAGCUUCAGUAUGAUGAACACUGAUGGGUUCUGGAAGCGUGGCUUGGUUGUUAUUGGAGCCCUUGUUCUGCCUAAGGUUAAUUGGUAAAAUAUGUAAUGGAAAUCAGCUGUAUAAUAAUGGUGGCUUGAUAUUCAUGCAAUAUCAAUUCAAUUAAAUGAAUAAAAUAAAUGAGUGGUUGGUUUACUAUUUACUUGCCAUUCUUGUCAUCGCGUUAGCAAAAACGAUCAAGAUUCAAACAGUAAUACAAGCAAGAGCUCAAAAUAAAGAACUGAAAGUGGAAUAUCGAAAAUAAUAAGAUGCUAAUUCAAACUAUAACAAAACCGGAGAAGAAGUGGAAUAUCGUUGUUGCUCAACCUCUCCUGCCAUCGAAAAUUUGAAAUUAUAAGAAGAAAAAGUAGUUCAGAGCCCGUUUGACUGAGUUUUAAACUGUGUGACCGAUAACUUAACCUGACUUAUUGUGAUAAGCCGAGAGUUUAAAAUAUACUACUAAUAACUUAUGGAUUAUUAAAAAUGUAAUAAUAAAAAUAAAAGUAAAUUAUGGGUAACUUAUAACUUAUGGGUAAAAUUAUCAAUUUUUUUUUUUUUUUAAAAUGAAGUCAUCGAAAAAUAUAACUCAAACUAAUUUCUCGAUUUAAGUCCGUUUUUGACUUAUUUAUGUGUUUAAGUCUUAUUACAAAAACAAAUAUUUUUGUCACAAACAUUCCUAGUCCCCUCAAGUCAAGCGUAGACAAACAACUACACUUUCUUGAUAAGAGAAUUUGAGACUUCGAGGUGAAACAGCUCGUUACAUACAUUUUUCUAAAACAUUCAUUUAUAUUGUUGUAUAAAAUUGUCAGGUCUCAGUACAACUCUUGCUUGGGAAGUGCUUGCUAUUUAAUAGGAUACAUGCACCUUUCAACAGCUGAGAAAUAACAAAUACGUGCCGGAAGCUUGGCCGGUUGGGCCUAACUUGUACACUUACAACUCAUGCUGACAGGAAACUGAAAGAAAGCUUGAAAUAGAACCAAAAUUUUGUGGUAUUUUGGCUAAUUUGAACAUACAGGAUUGCCAAGAAUAUUAUUGCAAUCUGCCAACUGAAUAUAGGUUUCUAUCUAAAAUAAAGAAGAUGCAUAUAUUCCAAAAUUUGACCCACACACAACUUUAUACCUAAUCUGGAUAACUGCCUUUAAGGCUUUUAAGAAAACAUAUUCCAGAAGAUGAGGGUUCCUUGUAAAUUCUUUGCAGCAUGAAUGCAUACUUUUUAUUUCCUAUCAAUUUUAGUGCAUAAAGAAUCCAGUUGAAUUGCAGAGGAACCUUUAUGUAUAGACUAAUUUGAGGAAGAAAUGUUUAUCAAAUUUAUCCAACUAAAACUUGGACAUAGUUCAUAAUGAUAUAUGUUGUCGAUUUUCAGUGAUUUCUCAAUGUUAUCACUUCCUGAAAUGACCAGAUCAGAAUUUUCCGCGUGUUAAAAUCACCAGAAUUAUUCUUCUGUGAAAGGACCACAAUAGUUAGGAACAAGAAUCCAAUUGGAAUGAAAAGCUUGCAUGCAUUAUUGGAGAUGUUCUGGAAGAUCCUGGUUUCUGAGUACUAUAAAUACUGGUUGAUUGUAGAGUUUUAAGUCAUCGCAAUUGAAAGGAAAACAGUACUAAGUUAAUACUUGUUCUUUCAAUCGAGAUAAUGGCUCAAGCAGUGAGGUGUCUUGAUGGUCAGUCACUUUUGUGUCAGGCCAAGGCCGGCCAGAACAUGCAGUGUCCCAGGAACCAGAACAAUUCGGUAAGCCCUGAGUGUGAAAUUAUCGAUACUAACAUAUUUAUCUAUUGACACUGGCAUAAAUAUUUGAUGGUCUUUCUGUAUAGAGUGUCAUUGGACAUCAGGAUGCAAGGGAACUGGAAAUCAUUUGGGGUUCUGACACUCGCUACUGGAAGUGGACAAGCAUGCAAAUCGGGUGAGUUCAGUACUGACAGGAAUGGAUCAUCAUUCAAACAACUCUGCAAUAGUUCAUUGCUCAACUCAUUUUCAAUAUUUUCUGACAUUUUAGUUUGUAUUACGCAGUGGACAUUGCAUUGAAGUUGCUGAAUUGAUUGAUGUCUGCUGGCUGGAAAUCAAUGGGAAAUACGCGAUGAAAAAACUUACUCCAGGAAUGGAUUACCAAGUGAAGUUCGUGUUGAAGCUUAACAACAACUUUAACAUUGACAAACCAGUGACCUUUAGCCUGACUACUCCAGAGGGAUGCAAGGAAGAGCAUAAGGAGAACAUGAUGCAAAUGCCAAGAAACCAAAUCAUUACCAUCAAUGCCGGGGAGUUUCAGACCCCCCGGAACAACUGUGGAUGUGGAGAAGUCAAGUACCAGAUGAUGAACACUGAUGG